CCCACUAACAACACAACAUCAUAUCUCUCUCUCUCUCUCUCUCUCUCUCUCUCUCUCUCUCUCCACUCUUGGUGCGCCACGUCGCCCAAUAGUCUGCUCUAGCUACAGUCCCAUGCUAUACAACUCACUUAACCACUUUCUUUUGCGUUGCGUUUGAUUCGGGUAUAAGUAAGAACUAUUUAUUCUAGAAAUAAAUACAAAUUCAGGUAUAAAUGAGAACUAAACUAAUUUUACGUUUGUAUAAAAAUUAGGUUGUUUUCAGAAAUAAGAAAAAUAAUAUUUGGAUAGAUAAGAUAGAAUAAGAAGAAUAGUGGAUAGUUAUAAAUAGAAAAUAAUGAUAUUGCCUCUCUCAUUAUAUUUGAAUUUGAAUUUUUAUAUUUUACAUUUAUAGUUUUAAAUUUAAAAUU
rnacentral:lncRNA from 1 species